GCAUGUUCUGGUCUUAUGCGCAUGCGCACAACAGGUCACGCCCACUCCCCCCUCUUUGGAGCCUGAGGUAAUUUCUGGACUACAAAUCCCUAAAGCUGUCGGGCCCAGAGUUCUCACUGCACGUGCGCGUCUCGCUGCUCGCCGGAAGGACGAAGUCUGGCAGUGUUUAUCUCGUUGGGGACCGAGGAAUCGGUUGGCGGGCAACGGGUUCUAGGCUGCUGGCAGCGCGAGGACCCGCGGCCCCACCCCGGCCCGGCCUGGCAGUUUCUAGUCCUGGCAGCAUACGAGCCACAGCUGUCAAAGGAACUCCUCGUGCCUGUAGACACCCUGGGUGACCCCCGGGACAACGGAUCAGCUGACAAGAACGACCUGUGAGGGGCUAAUCAACCAUGGUUACAUGGAGUUCUCUGUCCUAGGUAGCAGAGGCAGCAGGCCGUGCCGGGGGGGCAUGUUCAUGUAACCUGUGGCCCAGGGGAUGUUACGGUGGACAGUGCAUCUGGAGGGCGGGCCACGCAGGGUGAACCAUGCUGCAGUGGCUGUUGGGCACCGAGUAUACUCCUUCGGGGGUUACUGUUCUGGUGAAGACUACGAAACACUACGGCAGAUAGAUGUGCACAUUUUCAAUGCUGUGUCCUUGCGUUGGACAAAGCUGCCCCCAGUGAGGCCUGCUGUCCGAGGGCAAGCUCCUGUUGUGCCCUAUAUGCGGUAUGGACACUCGACCGUCCUCAUUGAUGACACGGUUUUCCUUUGGGGUGGGCGUAAUGACACCGAAGGGGCCUGCAACGUACUCUAUGCCUUUGAUGUCAGUGAGUAUGGAUCUCAAAUGACGCCUUGGGCCUGGGAAAGGGGUUGUUGUGGGGAGUGCUGGAGAAGGGAAGGCCCGAUUGAGAUGGAUAUGUCUGCUGACUUGUGUCAUUCUCUUAACUCUUUCAAAAGAUACUCACAAGUGGUCCACACCCCGAGUGUCAGGAACAGUUCCUGGGGCCCGGGAUGGACAUUCAGCUUGUGUCCUGGGCAAGAUCAUGUACAUUUUUGGGGGAUAUGAACAGCUGGCCGACUGCUUUUCCAAUGACAUCCACAAGCUGGAUACCAGCACCAUGACAUGGACCCUUGUUUGUACAAAGGUCUGUUCUUUGGUCUGUCUUUUCCCCAUCCUUGGCUGAAAUCCUAGGAAGCUCAAUUAGUUUCCCCUGCCCGAGCCCAUGCUGACCCCUUUCCCCAUCUCUCUGUUCUUGGCUAGGGCAAUCCUGCACGAUGGAGGGACUUCCACUCAGCCACAAUGCUGGGCAAUCACAUGUAUGUCUUCGGGGGCCGUGCUGAUCGCUUUGGGCCAUUUCAUUCCAACAAUGAGAUCUACUGCAAUCGAAUUCGAGUCUUUGAUACCAGAACCGAGGCCUGGCUCGACUGUCCUCACACGCCGGUGCUGCCUGAGGGGCGCAGAAGCCAUUCAGCCUUUGGCUACAAUGGAGAGCUGUAUAUCUUUGGAGGUUAUAAUGCAAGGCUGAAUCGGCAUUUCCAUGACCUCUGGAAGUUUAAUCCUGGGUCCUUUACGUGGAAGAAGAUUGAACCGAAGGGGAAAGGGCCAUGUCCCCGCCGCCGCCAGUGUUGCUGUAUUGUUGGUGAUA
rnacentral:lncRNA from 1 species